rnacentral:rRNA from 1 species
UUCUGGCUCAGGACGAACGCUGGCGGCGUGCCUAAUACAUGCAAGUCGAACGGUCUUUCUAUGGAAGCUUGCUUCCACUGAGAAGAUAGUGGCGAACGGGUGAGUAACACGUGGGUAACCUGCCCAUAAGAGGGGGGAUAACAUCCGGAAACGGGUGCUAAUACCGCAUAGUUUUCUUGAUCGCAUGAUCGGGAAAGGAAAGACGGCCUUUGUGCUGUCGCUUAUGGAUGGACCCGCGGCGUAUUAGUUAGUUGGUGAGGUAACGGCUCACCAAGACGAUGAUACGUAGCCGACCUGAGAGGGUGAUCGGCCACAUUGGGACUGAGACACGGCCCAAACUCCUACGGGAGGCAGCAGUAGGGAAUCUUCCGCAAUGGACGAAAGUCUGACGGAGCAACGCCGCGUGAGUGAAGAAAGGUUUUCGGAUCGUAAAACUCUGUUGUCAGAGAAGAACAAGUUGGAGAGUAACUGCUCCAGCCUUGACGGUAUCUGACCAGAAAGCCACGGCUAACUACGUGCCAGCCGCCGC